GGUUAGUGGUUAGGGGUUAUGGGUUAGGGUUAGGAUUGCUCAGGUAUAUACCUAGCUUGGGUACUACCCGCAUUCUAAAAUUUAGAAUAUUGGUUAAAAGUACCCAUUUAGAAGUAGCGAAACGGUUGUCUGUUCACAGAAUAAUUGGCGCUUGGUAAUGGGAACAUAUUGGGACACUUAGGGUUGCAUUGGCCCAAACCAUAAACAUCCCUAACGUAAACAAUAAAGAUGGCUUCGUUUUCAAAUUGGUUUGGGGAAGAUUUAUAUUUGCAGUACAGAGAAAGAAUAUUUUACGAAGAAAGUCCUUAUCUUUACUAUGCUUACCGCCUGCUAUCUGGAAUUACCGUUGCAGUUUUGGCAGUAGUGAUAAACGUUAUUUUGCAUUUUCUUUUUAAAGUUUGUCGAAGGAUUUUAAAUCGCUGGGCACAUAUAGAACAGGUCCAAUUUGGAAUGGAUGUUGUUUUUGGUGCAUAUCAUAUCGUCGCUACUGCACUUGUAGCUUAUAUUUCCGAACGAAAGAUUAGUUUGUUGUGUGAGUCAAUGCGAAGUUGAACUAUAAAUAUUGUAUCAAUCAAAUCAACUGUCAGCACUUGAUAAUAGAGAAUACGGAGAAUAACGUUACUGGCAGGGUGCCAAGUUGACGACAUAAAUAAAAAUAUAUUUAAAUCAGUAAAUUAUACCGGGUGGCGCAAAAAAAAGUUCACGCGUUUGAUUUAGUACAGCGAAAAAACUAUAAGUGUUACGUUCCUCAAAUAAAUGUUAUCCUAUCCAGGAAGGCCUAACUUAAAUUUUGAUGUAUAACACAUGCAUUUUUG